rnacentral:rRNA from 1 species
UUCCUCUGGCAAGCCUUCCGAGGUCGCCUUCCUUCUGCUGAUCAGAUCAAAAAACGCAAUGGGCCGGGCUCAGAAUUCUUUAACUUGUGUGGGGCUUUGGAAAACUCUAAUCACAUCUUUUUCAACUGUGUUCUUGCCAAAUUAGUUUGGUCUUGCGUCAGAUCCUGGCUUCGGGUCUCCUGGGAUCCCUCCUCUUUCGCAGACACUAGAACCCUAGCCAAAUCUCUGGUAGGGGUCACCAAGAGGGUAUUCUGGGUUGGCUUGGGAGCCUUAUGUUGGGCUCUUUGGACCAUUAGAAACAAAUUUACUAUUGAGCUUACCUUCCCAUCUAAGCCUGCUGACUUUCUUUUCAAAUCAUGUAUAUUCUUGCAGCAGUGGAGAUUAUUGACUAAGGAACCAUAUCGGGACGCCCUGGACCUGCUCAUCGCCAAAAUUCGGGCUUCAGCCUCUCAGAUCUCCGGG